rnacentral:misc_RNA from 1 species
ACAAAAAAACUUCUUUUAAAGUUCUUUUUUUAAAAAAAAGACUUUAAAACAUUUUGUGAACCUUUAUAAACAUUUUAAACAAAAUAAUUCAAAAUUUGGCCUUUAAAACAAAAACAUUUUUGUUUUUAAAAUUUAAAUUUAUUUAAAAAA